CACGUAGGGUGCGAGCGUUGUCCGGAUUUAUUGGGCGUAAAGAGCGUGUAGGCGGCCAGGUAGGUCAGCUGUGAAAACUCGAGGCUCAACCUCGAGACGCCGGUUGAAACCAUCUGGCUAGAGUCCGGAAGAGGAGAGUGGAAUUCCUGGUGUAGCGGUGAAAUGCGCAGAUAUCAGGAAGAACACCCGUGGCUAAGGCGGCUCUCUAGUACGGUACUGACGCUGAGACGCGAAAGCGUGGGGAGCGAACAGG
rnacentral:rRNA from 1 species